rnacentral:rRNA from 1 species
UACGUAGGGUGCAAGCGUUAAUCGGAAUUACUGGGCGUAAAGCGUGCGCAGGCGGUUAUGUAAGACAGAUGUGAAAUGCCCGGGCUUAACCUGGGAACUGCAUUUGUGACUGCAUGGCUAGAGUUUGGCAGAGGGGGUAGAAUUCCACGUGUAGCAGUGAAAUGCGUAGAUAUGUGGAGGAACACCGAUGGCGAAGGCAGCCCCCUGGGUCAAGACUGACGCUCAUGCACGAAAGCGUGGGAGCAAACAGG